UGGCACUUCUGCUUACUCUCGUGUGCUUUUUAGAGCGAAAAACACUUAAAAUCAAACGUCAGUUUUACUGCUCUGAAACUGUGCAUAUGAAAUUCGGAUUGUACACCGUCACGUCACAAGUUCGAAGCAGUUCCUUGUGAAAAAGCAUGUUCUUACCCUGCCCUGCUGGGUUGUGAACACGAGAAGAGCAGAAAAAAAGCAGCGGCCGCGGAGACACUUGUCACUUCAGCGGAUUCACACCAUUAGCCUUCAUACGACCCAUUUCCUAAAUACUAGUCAAGUACACGGCAAGUAGUAGUAGUAGUGAUCUUUCUCUGAAAGCAACGUUCAUACUAAAAAGCAGCAGUAUGGUCAAAAACUUUUUGGAACUUGAUGACUUUUAUUUGUCAACGAUAUAUUCACACUGGAAAGCUUCAUCUGAGAUAAAUGGGACCGAGUGGUUUGCAGGUGAAGCUCCAGGUGUCUAAAAGUUCAUUGCUUCCCCCAUUGCUUCAAGUAUUCAACUUGAAUUUACUUUAAAGGGAGUCUCAUAAAGGUGAAAGAGCCACACCUGGUGCUCGUUUCCACCUAUCAAGCCCCCAUAUCCCGCCGCCCCCCAGGUACGGCUGUCAGUCUAGGAGUUCCAGACAGAGCCAAGUGCAGAGCAACCAAUAUCAAGACAUUUUCAUACCCCAGUGCAGCAAGUGCGAUAUGAC